GCGCGGCCUCCGCCGAAUCCGGAGCGUCGCCGCGCACCCGGAACCGGGGACCCACCGAACUUGGGGUGAAUCGGCCAACUCCCGUACCGGGAACGGCCGUAGGGCAACCCUUCCGAACCACCCGCCCGAACCCGACAGCUAACUCGGUAGGCGGAGCAUGGAAGGAGU
rnacentral:sRNA from 2 species